UUCAAGGAGGGGAAUUAGCGGCGUUUUGUUAUAAACGCCACAACUGUCAAUUUUUUUUUUUACCAAAACUCCAUCGUUUUAGGUUCAUCCAAUUUAUUCCAAGUGCUCCUGAUAGCUGUUCUUCUUCCCCUUAACAAAAUUUCCCCAAUUCCCUCUCUUCUUCUUUAAUCCCUAAAUUUUCAUCCCCAAGUUCUCAACCCAUUUGCCACCGAAGACGCCGAUCGGACCACCUAGUGCAUCGCGCUCAACUAACCCCUCUGCUGCAUCGCUGUCGCCGUCAAUCUCUACUGCCACAGCCAAUCGGUAAAAGGGCUCGAUAGUUUGGUUUCUAUUGUUCCUUGUAGGUCUGGAAAAGGGCUCCCAAUUAUCGUUAUUACACCCUAAUUAUUUUUGUUCAUUUAGUUGAAGAGUCUUUUCUUGUUCUUCCAUCAUCAUCUUCCUCCUACCAUCGUCCCCCUUCUCUCCCUGUCGCGUCUCUGCAAAUCAGUUUCUUUUUCGUCUCUUUUCAUCUCAGUUCUCACCUGCCGCCGUGUCCGCUGGUUUUUUCCAAACCUGACGAGUCUCGGUAACGAAGAUUGUGAAUUAGAGUUAGUGCUCAAACAACUUUGCAUUAUAGUUAACACACCAAAUUAUGUUCCAUUGGAUGCUUUAGUUGUUAUUUAGUUUCUAUUUGAAUGUAGCUGUUUUAAAUUUUGAACAAUUAUUAGAGCUAAUGUUUGACCCUUAAUUUCUUCAUUGUCUUUUUUUUUUUUAAAUUGAUCAAUGUUCUUGUUUCGUUUAAGAUGCCCUUAAAUCAAUGGAUCAGAAACGGGUUCAUGAUUUCCUUUUAGAUAUAAGGGUGAUGCCGAUAGUGCUCUUGACAGGCUUUGGCAGAAAAAGAAAGUCGAAGUCAAACAGUAGUAGUCGGGUACCUUUUUAUUACCGGUCUCUGAACUCGGGAGGGAAAAUUCUUGGCAAUGACUGUUAAAUUCUAGUUUGUUUAGGUGGAUAAAGUUGAAAGUUGUUUUUGUCGAAUUGUUGAUGUUUAGUCUCUUGCAUUAGAUAUAUACACAUACACUUACAUACCAAUGUCAUGCUCAUACUUAGUUUUUGAUGCUCACAUCUAAAUCUAUGAUGAUAUUCUUACACUCGUAGAACUACAGUCUUUAUAUGUGACAUGAAUAUAUUUUUUGGUUAAAUCUUUUCAAUUUCUAACUUCAUAUGAUCUUCCAGUGAUGUUAAGACUACUAUGAAUAUAUUUGUUGGCCAUUUUUGCCUAAAACAAUGUUGAGAAACUAUGUUAAUCCAUGAACAGUUUGAUAUCUGCUUAAAACUGUUAUAAAAAGUUUUGCUACUGCUGUUAUAAACAGUCUUAUAUAGUAUUUACAAUCGGACCUUCCAGUCUUCUUACAAUUUCCUUAGGCUUAGCGUUUUUCCUCGUGGAUGCAAAAUAAUAGAUACUAAUCUUAGGCUGAGUUAUAUUAAAUAUUAAAAUUCAUUUCUUUUUAAUUUGCGUAAAGUAAGUAUACAGAUCAAGUUUAAUGAUUACCUCAGUGCUUUAAAGAGGUUUUUUAUAUUUAAUUUAACAUUUAAAAACUCCUCCAGAUUGGUCUUAAUUUGCUCAGUAGGCUGAUGGAUAUGCAGUUUCUCCACAUGUCCUAUAGGCUUCUUUUUUUACACUUGUUUCCUACAUGCAGCUUUAGUCAUAUCUGGCUCGUGUAUUACCUGGUUGAAAAUUGGAUGCAAGUUUUAUAUUUAUUUUGAUCAAAAAAAGAAAAGCAAAGCAAUGUUUUAAGUAUCUAAUGCUUCAUCAUAUUCAGUUGAUUCUGUUGAAAAGAAAGAAAAAAAGAAGAAAAAGAACAUAUAAAAAAAGCUAACUGAUGCAAAAGAUCUUCAGUGUUUAAAAGAGGAAUUCCAGAUUUUUAAUGUUGAUUUAUCUCAAAACUUUGAUGUGUUUUUGAACAGACAAAUAACCCAUGAGCCAAAAGCAUGUAACCGUAUGUUCAAGGAAGACAUGAAUUUCAAGAGUUUCAAUGAAUUGGUUAUUAGUCAUGAACUUGUAUUGGUUUAACGUUUGGAUUGAAGCUUGGUGUUGAAUCUACUAUUUAGGGAAGCUUAUUAAGUUUUUUCUGGAACUUGAAAAAUUAAUGACCUUGUGCUCAUGCAUUGUUUAAGUGAAAUAAUAUUUAUCUUGAGCUUCUAGAUUAUCAAACCCUUCCAACAAAUUUAUUCUUCCAUUCCAUGCUUUUACUGUAUUUUAAAAAAUUAUAUUUUUAUCACUCCAUUAUAGCUAUGAUUUUUAUAUUUAAAUCCUUUAAAAAAAGAGAUUGAAAGAAGUGGGUAACAAAAUGUGAUUUGAAUCAAUGUCUUCAAGUUUUGAAAUAAAUCGAAUAGAUUACUAUGUUAUAUAAAAUAUAAGUAUAAUUUUAUUUUUUGUAUUUAUCCUUUACCAACAAAGGUAGUAGAAGAUAUGGUGUUAUUGAAUGUGAUCCACUAGUUCGCAAAGGACUUGAGAAAACUGUAAGUAGUCUUUAAUAGAUGGCACUUAACAAGCAUUCCAUUCAUAAACAGUAACCCCCUUGAAUAAAUUUCUCUACUUGAAAGCAUAUGGAUAAACUAAUAUCGCUUGUGCAAGCAAGCUAAGCACAUGGUCAUUCCUUAUAUGCCGAUAUUAGCGCCUCCACAAAACUGGACAGGGUUUGAGUUUUUAUUGGAUGCAUGGUCCAGGAUUAGCUGAAUUCAUGCAUAGUGACGACUUGUUUGAGCUAACUGCUGAUCUUAAAGUGUGCAUUCUAUCAUUAUUUUGUUCUAUUUGUAUUUUGUUAGAUUUCUGGUGUAGUAUGAUAAGUGAGUAUUUUGUUUGAUUGUUAUUGAUAAACUUUCUGUUUGGUGGGAUAUAUAUUUAUAUCAUAGAUAUUAUUCUUGUUCUCAAUAUUUUGAUAAUGAAUUUUAAUUUUUUUAUA